UGCGUAGGGUGCAAGCGUUGUCCGGAAUUACUGGGCGUAAAGAGCUCGUAGGUGGUUUGUCGCGUUGUUCGUGAAAUCUCACGGCUUAACUGUGAGCGUGCGGGCGAUACGGGCAGACUAGAGUACUGCAGGGGAGACUGGAAUUCCUGGUGUAGCGGUGGAAUGCGCAGAUAUCAGGAGGAACACCGGUGGCGAAGGCGGGUCUCCGGGCAGUAACUGACGCUGAGGAGCGAAAGCGUGGGGAGCGAUCCGG
rnacentral:rRNA from 1 species